GACACUGUCUGCAAAACCUCUAAGAAAACAUGACCAUAACAUAUAAGUUGGGACAGGGUCCCUAACAUCCUUAUAAAACAAAGUAACAUAUAUAGAACGUGACUUGACAAUACUCUAGGAAGAUGUGGAGCUCACCAACCAAAAGCUGAUAUCUGGAGGCAGCCUACAAUGGAUGAUCCUCACCUUGCCUAUCUACACCUGCGUGGCAUGAAGCACAGUGCCCCAGAAAAAAAAAGGCGUUAGUACGAAGAAUGUACCGAGUAUGUAAGGCAGCAAUGAAAUGUAAUAAUAAUAAGAUAUUAUCUCGGGGGAGAGAUAAGAGUCAACUUAUAACUUCUGACUUGUCGCUGAGGGCCGUAACAUAUAGAAUAAAAUCCAUAUCGUAUAUAUAAAUAAAGUUACAAUACAAUAGUUCUAGUUACCUCAUUUUUGUAACGUUAACUGCCCAACUGAUCAGUGGUAACUGCCCGAUUGACCGUAGCUCGGUGGUAAAUGCAUAACUGCCCAAGCGAUGAUAAAUAAAUAAUAAUACAUAACUAUCCAACCGGUGGUAACUGCCCGACCAGCCGUAGCUCGGUGGUAGAUGUAUAACUGCCCAAUCGGUCGUAGCUCGGUGGUAAAUAUUACAACGUCACCACUAGUUACAUAUAUAAAUACAAUAUCUGAAGAGCCUUUUAGGAUAAUUAGAAUAUCUUUCAAAGUGACUUAUAGUCGUUUACUCCCGACAUGUACCACUAAUUAUGAAAAAUAGUAAAUACCCGAUAGAAUAAUCGCAAGUUGACCCUAACACCACCAUUUUAAAAAACAAUAUGGCAGCAUUGUUGCAUCAUUUGGCAUGCAACAUUUGGUGUAGGUUUCUAUUUGGACAUAAAUAUAUUCCUCAAUUGAAAACUAACUAUCAGAUUAUUUAUUUUGAUUACUUGUUAAGGAAAGAACACCGUAUUUGGAAAUAGAAGUUAUCCGAUCCUUAAAACAAAAAUUAAGAAACCAACAUUCUUGCAUCUAUAAUAACAACUAAUGGAUUAAGAAUAUCAUAGAAGUUAGCACUAUAUAUAUAUAUAUGAACUAACAUCAUCCACAUGCGGUCAAUAAGAAUCAAGCAUCAGUGCCAUGAGUAAGAGUUUACAUUAUAAAAGACAAUGAACAAAAGCUUUCUGUAUUUACUAGGAAUAAUAUCAUGUUUUAGUAUUGAGUUUGUUUACACGCCAUAGUUGGAGUCAUGCCAAAAGGAAAAAGGAUAGAUUUAACAUACCUGGAGUAGGAAAAACUCCGUAUAAUACUUUUGGAGAAGAUUUCACCGUACUUCUAUAUAACCGCAAAAAUUGGAUGGACUUUUAGCUUCUGUCCUUGUAGUAUUGAACUAGGAAAGACAUAUGUUUCUUGAUUUUGAAUUAAGAACAAAAUAUGGACUUUAACUUCUGGUCUUAGAAGCAACUGGAACUUGGAAAAUGAUAUUGCAUUAGGAACAUUUUUCCUUCUUUUGUCCAAAUGAAAGAAUGAGAUAACACUUAUCAUAAGUCUUUACUUAUUAAUUCCAAAUAAAUCCUAGAUAGACACCUAAGACUAUAUGACUACUUAGUCAUUCUCUAGAUUUGUGGCUUUUUGCCAAGUUUUUGGGGGUGUAUUUUAUUAAUUUUUAUCCAUUUAUUAGUUAACUGGGUAAUGUCCCGUUACCCGGUAAUUAACCAAUUACUCGCAUAAUUUAAAAAUUACUUCAAAUUACUUAAAAUUAUACUUAUUUUUAAUAUACUUUAUACAUCAUACUAUCACGUCCAUAUGGUACCUUGUAUGAUACUAGUCCAUAAUUAUCGGGUAUUAUCGCUCGACCCGUAUUUUAUCCCAAAUUGGCCACUUUCAACGAAACUCGUUUUCUUUAAUUUGUGUACCCUUUAUCCUUCUUGACACUUACUUAUUGCUUGUUAUAAUUAGCAUAAAUACGUUAACCUCAAGAUAAUCUCAUCCCCGAGUCUACGUCAAUUAACGGAAGACGAAACUUUAACGUACGAAAAUGCGAGAUGUAACAUCCUUCCCCCUAGAAAUAUUCGUCCUCGAAUGUUUAAACUUGCAAGAUGUACAUACAUAUCCAUCUAUUAUAAAUGUAUAUAUCUUCCCGGGCUAAACUCCAAUGAAACAAAUAGCAAGCUCUCACGGGGUCAGGACGUCGUCCCUCCCUAAAACUACUUCCUAAUCAAUUCGUCACCUAUGAUUCUGUUAAUAUAUCUUCUAGGUGCUGUCACCUAUUAGUUGUAAUCUUAAUAACUGGGUUCAUGCUUUCCUUUCAAAGCUAGCCUUGGUUUCCCUUAACCCUUCUGGCGCAAUGCCAACUUACUCUUACAUUAAUCAUAUUAAAUGGACAAUUUGCGUUAAUAAGAUCGAACAUUACCAAUAAUCACAAUACCUGACACAUCAUCCGGUGUAGCCUCUGGGUCCUGACAACCUGCCAAAGCAUAUAUGCGGUUCUGACUACCGUCAGAGCUAGAUGCUCCAUCCCUGACUCUACCUCUACCAGUUGAUGCCCGAUGGCCUCUCUCUUGAGAAGAGGAGGAUACUGUAUAGAUCUGGUGGGCUGAACCAUCCCGCUUAUGUUAUUCAUAGCGCAAUCCCCCAUGUAAUGACUAGGGUCUCCACAUGUAUAACAUAUAUUAGAUCCCUGACGACAUUGUCCAGAAUGAGCUCUACUGCAUUGACUGCACCGUGGAGGAGGCGCCCUCAUCUACGCUGAAUCCCUCCGAUUCUAAAAACCCAAAAUUCUCGAGCCCUGACCUGAUUCAGAAUAGACAGAUCCCUCAUAAUACGACUUCUGCAGUUGUCAGAUACUUUCAAUAGGAUAUGGUGACAUAGGAUCGCCCGAAAAAUCCUCAGGUCGCCUAGCAGACCUGGCCUUCUUACGCUGACCCUCAUCACGAUUCUCGUAUUGUUGUCAUUAUCAGUCCUCCAAAUUUUGAGCAUAAGCCUGGAUGCCAGAAAUAUCCAUACCAUCGAGCAGAGCGGCUGUGGAGCAUUCAUUAAUCAGGUGCGGCCCAAGUCCUAUGACAAACCGAUACACUUGAUCACUCAUUUCAGCCACAAUCUAGGGGGCAUACCUUGCCAAGGAAUCAAACUGGAGACUAUACUCUUGCACACUCAUAUUCCCCUAUUUAAGAGACAAGAACCUGUCUACCCUUGCUUGAUGAAUCUCUAUUGGCAAGUAAUGACACAAGAAAUCCCCUGAGAACUCUUCCCAUAGUGCUGGAGAUGCAUUUGUCCCUCUAGACAAUUCCCAAGUUUCUUACCACUGAACCACAACAUCUCGCAAUAGGUAUGAGGCCAACUCUACUAACUCAGUGUCCGAUGCAUGCAUUACCCUCAAAGUCCUCUGCAUCCUAUCAAUAAAGUUUUGCGGGUCCUCAUCCUUAUUGGAUCCAGUAAACUCUGGAGGGUCCAGGUUGAUAAAGACUCAAACUCUCGCGCUAAUAACCCUGUUAACGUGACCAACAUUUGUACCUACCUAGUGCUGAGCCUGAGUGGCUACCAACCUAGUCAACAACUGUACUGCACUCCGCAUAUCCAUAUCCUCAUCCAGAACAAUAGGUGGAGGUACUGGGUUCCUCAUCAUCUCCUCGGGUGUUGACAAAAUCGGAGAACUAUGCGAGGGUGUCAUAUUUCCCCUCAGGGCCUCACUUUGGACCUCACUAGACAUUGGUACUCUACUCAUGCCCUCAUAUGCCACUACUUUACCCUUUUGACUAGCCGUAGCGUUCCAAGUCAUAGACAUUGCUGCAUAUAUAAAACAAGUCAAAGAUCAAGGGCUUUGUUCCCUAUAACUUUGCUCUAUUACACGAUCUAAUAUCAAGAAGAAAGGGUAGCCGGUCCCUAAAUGCCCUGUAGUUUCUUGCUUAUAUAACGUGGUGGACAACACAUUUAUAAACAAGACUUUACUAGACACGGCUUGCAGACAACCCUAGGACAGAACUACUCUGAUACCACUUUAUCAUGACCCAUAUCAGAGGGCCAUGACUGGCACCUGGUGCCUAUUCAACCGAGUGCCACGUGUCACACCUCCUUUUUACUACUCCGGAAGGGUAUAAGGGAGUUUUUCCAAUUUAAGUGACAAUCAAAAUGGGAUUAUUUAUAUUAAUCAGAGUCUCCACUUGGGAUAAUUAUGGUGUCCCAAGUCACCGGUUUAAAAUCCCGAAUCGAGGAAUUUUGACUCAUUUUUACAGUCCACAAAACACAGAAAUCCGGCUAAGGACUUCUGUUAAUUCAGGAGAAGGUGUUAGGCAUUCCCGAGUUCCGUGGUUUUAGCACGGUCGCUUUAAUCAUACUUGGCUUAAUUAAAUUGUCUAAUUACAUGUUUAAGAACAUAUGUACAUUUUUACCUUUUACCACUUUUAAUUAAGAAUUUAUCCUAAAGCAAGUCACACGUACGUGUACUCAUUCCAUUUUGCAUAUAAAAAAUCAUGUCACACGUACGUGUCCACAAUUAAUAAUGCUUUAUUAUUAUUAAGCAAUUUUGGUCAAAGUUGUGCGAACACAUACUCCGGGUUUGUUUUUAGAUAGAUUAAGUCUCACCUAAAACAUUUUCUACGAAUAUUCAUUUUUUUUAAAAACGUACUCGUGUUACGCGAAUGUGUACACAACUAAUAACAUUUUAUUAUUAUUAAGAUUAUUUGACCAAAGUCACGCGAACGUGUACCUUGAUUUUGGUCAUGUAACUUGUCAUGUAUCAAUCACAAAGGAAUGAAACCAAACAUAUAACCGCAAAGCCUUAAAUAUGUCAUACAAAUUCAAAGCUACUAGUAGAAAGAAAUGAACCAUAUAUGUUCCUAUGCAUAGAUUUAAUAAUUUAUACUUCAAGUGGCAAAGCCAAGAAACAGGGUUGGAGAUCACAAAAUGCAAACAGUUAAUUAGAUUCAUAAAAUGUUUAUGACCUUUUUAAAAAGUUUAUCUAUUUUUAUGUAUUUUAAUUAGACUCAACAAAUUAGUCUUGGGUUUUUAAAAGAAAAUAACACUGUAGGCUGUAGCAAUCCUCUUGAUUAAGACAGUGUUAGAACACGCACAACACUCUUUUAUUCGAAUAGUGAAAGGAAGAACAGAGAACAAAGCUCAUAGUUACUAGUAAACACAUGUUUCAAAUGCAUUGCAUCAAUUAAUAUCAACUCAUGAAAUCUAGCAAUUCCAAUUAUGUAACUCAAAUGUUAAUGUAGAGAUCUGGUGUGUACCUAGUAUUCAAAAGCCAACUUGAGAAGCCACAUAAAGGCUAAGAGAAACAACCAUGAAUUUGAUGUCACCGUUGAUAAGCAACCACAACAGUAAUUUUUGCUUUUGAAGAAACUUUCGAUUAACGAAAAAGUACAGCAGCUACAAUAGAUGGAAAGCGCAGCUAUGAGUGAAACUCGAAUAGCGACCGAACUCGAAUGACAACAGUAAAGAACUAGAUCCACGUUUUCAUUCCCAAAAUCCCAGUAAAGGAGAUCGAACCCAAACCAAAAUAGAGAACCAUAACUAAAGCUAACGAAUGGAAAGUCUGACGAACUCGAACUCGAUGGCAAUCGAACCCAACUUCAGCGACUCGAACCACGACCAAAUAGCUGCUCGUACUUGAAUAGUUUGAGAGCUAUUUACGAGGUGUGGCUGCUGCUGUAUGCGUUUGAGCAGAAAUGAAAAAGGGGGUCAGUAUCCACUGGCUUCUGUCCAGUGGUCGUUUUUGGUGUUCGAUUUUCUGAAGAAGAAGGGGUAACGGUUAUGGGGGCUAUUUUUUGGAGUUGCCGCUGGUUGGGGUGUGGUGGCAACGGACUGGUUGUUGAAGAAAUGUGGGGUGAGAUGAAGAAGAAGAUGUCCAGGGGGUUCUCGAUAGGGGUCCCUUAACGCUGAAGAAGAUGAAGAACGGGGGGGGGGAUCUCUUAUGUGUUAAACGACGGAUGUUCAGGGUCUUAGGUUGAAGAUGGGUCGUUUGGGGUGGAGUGAAGAAGAUGAAUUUCAGGCUGGGGGGGGGGGGGGGUCCUCUGUUCUCUAUUGCUUCUUCAGAUUUUUUUUUU
rnacentral:lncRNA from 1 species